UAAGUACUCCCUCCGUCCCAAAAUAAGUGACUCAACUUUGUACUAACUUUGUACUGAAGCUAGUAUAAAGUUGAGUCACUUAUUUUGGGACGGAGGGAGUAGUAU
rfam:Triticum aestivum genome assembly, contig: Triticum_aestivum_CS42_TGACv1_scaffold_001965_1AL